rnacentral:rRNA from 1 species
UACGGAGGGUGCAAGCGUUAUCCGGAUUUACUGGGCUUAAAGGGUGCGUAGGCGGUCAGGUAAGUCAGUGGUGAAAUCUCCGAGCUUAACUCGGAAACUGCCGUUGAUACUAUUUGUCUUGAAUAUUGUGGAGGUAAGCGGAAUAUGUCAUGUAGCGGUGAAAUGCUUAGAUAUGACAUAGAACACCAAUUGCGAAGGCAGCUUACUACACAACGAUUGACGCUGAGGCACGAAAGCGUGGGGAUCAAACAGG